rnacentral:rRNA from 1 species
GACGAACGCUGGCGGCGUGCUUAACACAUGCAAGUCGAACGGAAAGGCCCUGCUUUUGUGGGGUGCUCGAGUGGCGAACGGGUGAGUAACACGUGAGUAACCUGCCCUUGACUUUGGGAUAACUUCAGGAAACUGGGGCUAAUACCGGAUAGGAGCUCCUGCUGCAUGGUGGGGGUUGGAAAGUUUCGGCGGUUGGGGAUGGACUCGCGGCUUAUCAGCUUGUUGGGGGGGGAGUGGCUUACCAAGGCUUUGACGGGUAGCCGGCCUGAGCGGGUGACCGGGCACAUUGGGACUGAGAUACGGCCCAGACGCCUACGGGAGGCAGCAGUGGGGAAUAUUGCACAAUGGGCGGAAGCCUGAGGCAGCAACGCCGCGUGCGGGAUGACGGCCUGCGGGUUGUAAACCGCUGUCGCCGGUAACGAAGCGUGAGUGACGGUAAUGGGUAAGGAAGCACCGGCUAACUACGUG